ensembl:lncRNA
ACAUUUAUCGUGGACUUUAUUUCUUAUUAUUACAUUAGGCAUAGAUCCCAGAGGCUGGGGAUGCCUGCUCUAGGACAAAGAGGCUGUAGGACAAACCGAACCAUAAUUUGGUUUAGGGAUGCACUAGCCGCCUUGGGGCUCCCAAGACUCAAGUGGAGGUUAUUGGGGGUUCUGGAAAUGAAACUUGUUGACUCUGCCAAUGAUGCUACCAGAAAUGCUCCUUCCUGUCUUUGGGCUGAUGAAUUAAUAUUGGGGUGAAACUUGGAACUCUGUAGAAAGUCUGCUUCAACCUGAAGGCAGAGUCGAAAUAGGACAAGAAGCCUUUGAUGUAAUCCUCAGGGUGUAUUUCACAGCUGGUUUGAUUCAGCAGAUCAUUUCUCAACCUUCUUGUUAAUGAGCAAACAAGCUUCAUUAAAGCCACGUUGAGCUGGGUUUCUCUCAUCUCCCCAGUCCUCCAUGCUGGAAACCUCUUCUGUAUCCUGCUCCUCACCGGCUACGUCCACUGGCACUAGGGCAUUCAUUCACUUGCUCACUCACUCAUUCAGUCACAUUUUUGAGUGCCCUGAUCUAGGAUCUACUGAUACAGGCAGGCCCCUGUGCUGCGUCUCUGCCAUGUCAGUAGUGAGAGACGGAUCGAGUUACCAGGACACGCAGUGACUUCAGACAGGGUGACGGGAUAGAGGGUUGGGCAGCCGCUCCUUUAAAUCACAAGGUCAGGAACUGGCUCUCUUGUGCGGGGACACUGACGUUAAAAAUGGAACGAGGAGCAAAAGGAAAAGGAAAGCAUUUCAAGCUGAGAAAACAAGUACCAAGGUCCUGAGGUUGGAUGAAAGGAAGGAGGGACUUGGCUGAGUCCUGAUCUGGUCUCCACUCGCCUGGUCUGCUGUUCUGCCGCCCAGCUUCAAACCCUUCCCACCCUGCUGCCAGCGCCCCAUCACUGCAACAAGCCUCAUCUCACUCUGCCCCUCCGAGAAGCCUGCAGGGACUCCCCUUUUCUAGGUUAAAGUCACACUUUUCGUGGCCUCCAGGACCUUUCGAGGUCUGGUCCUGCUUGCUCUGCAGCUGAGCCAGGCACCGUUUAGGUCCCUGGCUCUGUACCCAGACUCGGGCUUGACCUCCAGCCACCUUCGAGCUGCAAACCCUCUGGUCACCUGCUUGUCCUGGAUCCUGCCUCAGACAUGACUCAUGCUCUGGCAGGGAGCUUCCGCUGUGACACCUCCUUUCUAAUUUGGGCUC